CAAAUGCACUAGAAAUAAGUGUCCGGACAGUUAUCAUAUGGGCUAGAAGCACCAGAGUCUAUUAACCAUGAAGUUGAAACAGUAUUACCUAAAAAGGCAGAUGCGGAUUCUUUGUGCAAUUGGGAUUGUGAGAGCAAACAUUGAAGUUGUUUCAUUGUAAGAGUGAUCAAUGAAGAAGUAGUACCAAUAGCCGAUGGUGUUACGCUAAUUGCUUGAGUUUUAAUAUUCAUGGAAGAUAGAUCGAGACUGAUUUGACUCUGCAGUUUAUGUCUCCUUUUUUCUUUUAUUUUUUUAACAAAAAAAAAAUAUGUUACUAACAACAAGAUAAGCUGUCAGAACACCAAGGGUGGUCCGUCACUCUAUAAAGUUCCUUCGCUUAUAAAAGAUUACUACCACUCCACCUUUCUCGGAAAAAAAAGGGGUACAUGUAGCAACUAAAAGAGGAUGAGACAAAUAAAAGAAGGAAAAAGUUUAUAUAAGGAUGUUACCUUAUAAUGUAGAAUUAUAGAUGCCUCUCAAAAAUCCAUCGGAAAAGGUAGUUUUAAUGUUGAAAAGCCCUUUGAUUGAUCAUCUCGACAUCGAGAUGUAUGACUAAGAAAGAUAAAAAGAUUUUAAGUCUAAAAAAUAGUGCAUCUUACAAUAUAUUAUCUACGCCGAUCAUUUUCAAGAUUUUCAUAUGUUUAUAGAUCUACUUGAUUUUAACUAUUUUUAAAAUUUAAAAUUUUAUAAUUAGAUAUAAAAAUAGAUUUUGAGAUAAUCCUAAAAAUAUUUAAGAUCAAAAUUAUAUACCAUGAUAAAAUAGAAACAACGAGUUUAGAGUGGGUUUCCCUUUAAGAAGAACAGAGCCGAGGAAGAAGAUAUACAUACCAAGAAGCUUCAAAUUCGGACGAGGAUCUUCCGAUCUAGAGGUUGGCAAAGAAAA
rnacentral:lncRNA from 1 species